AAAACCAUUUUUACAAACCUUAAAAGAAAAGAAAAACUCCACUUACUUUCAUUCAUCAUAAACAACCAUCUCAUUUUGAACUCUUAAUUAUAAUACAAAUUCAAUGCAUUGAAACUUUUCAAGUGCUGAUAUUGAUUUAUUUCAAGAAGUUGAGAUAAAAUUGCAGGUUUAAGAAAAAGAGAAAGAGUGCUAUAGAAAAGUUACAUCUUUUUAUUUCAAUCUAUUCCUACCAAAAAGCAUGUCCCCUGCAUUUUAAGAGUGCUAUAGAAAAGCUCAGGAUAGAAGUUGUCAUACUAAACUGAUAAGGCUUGAUUGGAUAGAAGUUGCAAGGAACCAUGACUGCUACAACUAGCUAGUUUAGGAUGAGAUGAUGAAAAUAAAGUUAGGAGAAAUAAUUAAUAUUGUAAUCACUUUUUUUUUUUAUAAUGUUUGUACUUUGUAAUCACAUUUUCUAUUUCUUGAUGAUUUAUGUUUGGUUUGCUAAUUCUUUCAAU